AGGGGUGGAUCGCAUGCUGUGCAAAUUUUGGAAAUUCACAAGCUCCAGUCAAGAGACUCUUCUGAAACAUUGUUGCCUUCGCCACGGAAAAGACUUUGUUACUUAGGGUAGUUGUCUCCUCCAAAGAAGCCCGGCGAAUCCAGCUUCCUGAAGUACCAGGAUCUGUGGCCCAACUGAUUGAUGUGCUUAAAGAGAAACUCUAACUUGAAGAAUUCAAUCGGAUCACCACUAGAGACCUCCUGGGGAUUUUCAGUGCUUCCCUUGACAAACAUGUCCCUUGCC